rnacentral:lncRNA from 1 species
GGCGGAAAGAGACGAAGAGAAGAAGGAGAAGGAGAGGAAGAAAGGGAGGAAGAAAGGAAGGAAAAGAGAGGGAGACCGGGGCUGGAAGCCCGGCCCCCGUUCACCCACCUCCGGCCGAACUCGUUUCGGCCGGAUUGACCUCGGCCGGCCACUGUCGGCCGGCCGAAUCCCACACAAAAAAAAAUUUCCCAAAAACAGGGAAAUAAAGCCGGUUGACAUCCCUCUUUCUUUUCCCUUUUAAAUCCAUAAAAAAAAAAAAUGAUGGUUGUCUUCCUCACCUCCGGUCGUCGACGAUGGAUCCCCGGCGGCGUUGGCGGCUCCGGCGGCGACUACGGCUCCGGCGAUUGUCUCAAGAAGAGGGGAAAAAGAAGAGGAAGGGAUGGGGCUCUCAGAGGAGAAAGAAAGGGAGAGAGAGAGAGAGAGAG